AUACGAAAGGUGCAAGUGUUGUUCGGAUUUACUGGGCGUAAAGAGAGUGUAGGUUGUUUAUUAAGUCAGAUGUGAAACCCCGGGGCUCAACCUCGGAACUGCAUUCGAUACUGGUAGACUAGAGUUCGGGAGGGGUAAGCGGAAUUCCGUGUGUAGCAGUGAAAUGCGUAGAUAUACGGAGGAACACCUGAGGCGAAGGCGGCUUACUGGACCGAUACUGACACUGAGACUCGAAAGCGUGGGUAGCAAACAGGAUUAGAAACCCUAGUAGUCC
rnacentral:rRNA from 1 species